GCGCCCAUAGCUCAACUGGAUAGAGCGUUAGACUACGGAUCUAAAGGCUGGGGGUUCGAAUCCCUUUGGGCGUACCA
rnacentral:tRNA from 1 species